rnacentral:rRNA from 1 species
CCUACGGGGUGCAGCAGUGGGGAAUAUUGGACAAUGGGCGAAAGCCUGAUCCAGCCAUGCCGCGUGUGUGAAGAAGGCCUUCGGGUUGUAAAGCACUUUCAGUGGGGAAGAAAGCCUUGGGGCUAAUACCCUCGAGGAAGGACAUCACCCACAGAAGAAGCACCGGCUAACUCCGUGCCAGCAGCCGCGGUAAUACGGAGGGUGCGAGCGUUAAUCGGAAUUACUGGGCGUAAAGCGCGCGUAGGCGGUCUGAUAAGCCGGUUGUGAAAGCCCCGGGCUCAACCUGGGAACGGCAUCCGGAACUGUCAGGCUAGAGUGCAGGAGAGGAAGGUAGAAUUCCCGGUGUAGCGGUGAAAUGCGUAGAGAUCGGGAGGAAUGCCAGUGGCGAAGGCGGCCUUCUGGACUGACACUGACGCUGAGGUGCGAAAGCGUGGGUAGCAAACAGGAUUAGAUACCCGAGUAGUC